AUAAGUCUGAGUGUCUAGGGUUAUGAGAUCAAAUUGUGUUUCUUUGUCACUGGAAAUCCCCACUUCAAACCUUAAGAACGAGCCAUUCAAAAGCUUGCAGUGAGGCAACACACUUAACAGGAAAGCAUGACUUCAUUUUGGCAUGAUUCGUCUUCAAAAUCAGGCAAAGAAACCCGUUUUAUGGUGUGAAAGAGGUGUGUUCAUGGACGCAAGGCAAUUGCAUACUGAACACCACGUCACUCAUAAAGAGAAAAUGAAAGCAACCAAAAGAGAAUUUCCUGCCACUCCCACCAGCAAAAUGCAUCAGCAUACCUGCACCUGAAAUCACAUUCUUUGCUUUCCUUCCUUUGAGAGCAUUUGGUCUGUCAGUAUUUCUAUCAAAGACCAAACCAUAUCCUAGCCCGUUAGCAGAGAACAUUUUCCUGAAAAUGACCGUUUCUGGGUUUCACUUUAUGCUUUCCCCCAUACUGAAUCAUUCUCAUUAUCAUUUGUUUCAAAGGAAGAGUUAUAAUUCAAAUAUUUAUUUUAGUGCAAUGAGUAAGAGAUUAAAGCUAAAUUUAAUAUGAAGAUUGGUUCAGAAGAUAAAAGUUCGCUUUGCACAACAUUUUUAAACUGUUGAAGUACUAUCUUCACAAUAUUACUCUCCGUACAUGCAUUUCAUUGCUCCUCUAUUUUUCUGCCUUUCUCCAAAACAAUACCUGAUACUGCCCUACUUUUGAUUCUCUUGUAUUCUUACUUUUUCCUAAUCGAGAAUGAACAGUGACGAUAAUUAAACAACGGAUUGAAAACCAACUCCGGUGGUAGUGCUGGGUGCUUAAUGGGUAACAUCAUCUGCUCAAGUUACUGAGACUUCACCUACUUGGAAGCUACUGAUCUCAAAGCUUAAGGAAUAAUUAUUGAGGAGAUGAUUUAGGUAAAUUUGAUUUGGAAAUGUUGUCCAGGAAAUCCUAGGGCCCAUUUUUCACCGGGCUUGAGACAUAUUUGGAACAGAGAAGAUUAGGGAUUGGUGAGUCAGAAAUGGCUGCUUUGGGAAAUGAACUGAACUG
ensembl:lncRNA